AGAACAGAAUCAUAGAAUAUCAGGGUUGGAAGGGACCUCAGGAGGUCAUCUAGUCCACCCCAUGGUCAAAGCAGGUCCAAUUCCCAACUAAAUCAUCCAUCUGCCAGGGCUUUGGA